AACUACUCCAGAAGUUAAGAAACUCCAAUGAACAAUACAGGGAAGAUUAGCAGGGCCCCCGUGCAAGAAUGACAUGCAAAUUUGUGAAGUGUUCCAUAUUUAA